CAGUAGCCACGGUAAUACGGAGGAUCCAAGCGUUAUCCGGAAUCAUUGGGUUUAAAGGGUCCGUAGGCGGUCUUGUAAGUCAGUGGUGAAAGCCCAUCGCUCAACGGUGGAACGGCCAUUGAUACUGCAGGACUUGAAUUAUUGGGAAGUAACUAGAAUAUGUAGUGUAGCGGUGAAAUGCUUAGAGAUUACAUGGAAUACCAAUUGCGAAGGCAGGUUACUACCAAUUGAUUGACGCUGAUGGACGAAAGCGUGGGUAGCGAACAGGAUUAGAUACCCCCGUAGUCCCUGUCUCUUAUAC
rnacentral:rRNA from 1 species